rnacentral:rRNA from 1 species
GACGAACGCUGGCGGCGUGCCUAAUACAUGCAAGUCGAACGAGUGGCGGACGGGUGAGUAAUGUAUGGGGAACUGCCUGAUGGAGGGGGGUAACUACUGGAAACGAUACACAAUACCGCAUAACAUCAGAUGAAGCAAUAUGGGAGUAGCUUGUAGGUGAGGUAACGGCUCACCUAGGCGACGAUCCUUAGCGGGUCUGAGAGGAUGAUCGGCCACACUGGGACUGAGACACGGCCCAGACUCCUACGGGAGGCAGCAGUGGGGAAUAUUGCACAAUGGGCGAAAGCCUGAUGCAGCCAUGCCGCGUGUAUGAAGAAGGCCUUCGGGUUGUAAAGUACUUUCAGUCGGGAGGCGUUACCGACAGAGGAAGCACCGGCUAACUCCGUGCCAGCAGCCGCGGUAAUUC